rnacentral:tRNA from 1 species
CAUUGAAUGGCUGAAAUUAAAGCAUUGGUCUCUUAAACCACAUCAUAGUAAAUAAUUACUUUCAAUGA